rnacentral:rRNA from 1 species
UGACCUCGGAUCAGGUAGGGAUACCCGCUGAACUUAAGCAUAUCAAUAAGCGGAGGAAAAGAAACCAACAGGGAUUGCUCUAGUAACGGCGAGUGAAGCAGCAAUAGCUCAAAUUUGAAAUCUGGCGUCUUCGACGUCCGAGUUGUAAUUUGUAGAGGAUGCUUCUGAGUGGCCACCGACCUAAGUUCCUUGGAACAGGACGUCAUAGAGGGUGAGAAUCCCGUAUGCGGUCGGAAAGGCGCUCUAUACGUAGCUCCUUCGACGAGUCGAGUUGUUUGGGAAUGCAGCUCUAAAUGGGAGGUAAAUUUCUUCUAAAGCUAAAUAUUGGCCAGAGACCGAUAGCGCACAAGUAGAGUGAUCGAAAGAUGAAAAGCACUUUGGAAAGAGAGUUAAAAAGCACGUGAAAUUGUUAAAAGGGAAGGGAUUGCAACCAGACUUGCUCGCGGUGUUCCGCCGGUCUUCUGACCGGUCUACUCGCCGCGUUGCAGGCCAGCAUCGUCUGGUGCCGCUGGAUAAGACUUGAGGAAUGUAGCUCCCUCGGGAGUGUUAUAGCCUCUUGUGAUGCAGCGAGCGCCGGGCGAGGUCCGCGCUUCGGCUAGGAUGCUGGCGUAAUGGUCGUAAUCCGCCCGUCUUGAAACACGGACCAAGGAGUCUAACAUCUAUGCGAGUGUUCGGGUGUCAAACCCCUACGCGUAAUGAAAGUGAACGGAGGUGAGAACCGCAAGGUGCAUCAUCGACCGAUCCUGAUGUCUUCGGAUGGAUUUGAGUAAGAGCAUAGCUGUUGGGACCCGAAAGAUGGUGAACUAUGCCUGAAUAGGGUGAAGCCAGAGGAAACUCUGGUGGAGGCUCGCAGCGGUUCUGACGUGCAAAUCGAUCGUCAAAUUUGGGUAUAGGG